rnacentral:lncRNA from 1 species
UCAGGGUGAGCCAGGCUGGGCACUACACACAUUCCAAGCAGUGAUUGCAUUUGCUCUUUUGUGUUUAGUUUCGUUUGAGACAAGGUCUUGCUCUGUCGCCCAGGCUGGAGUGCAGUGCUGCAGUCACGGCUCUCUGAACCUCAACUUCCCAAGCCCAGGUCAUCCUCUAGGCUCUGGGACCCCAGGUGUGUGCCACCAUGCUCAGCUCCUGGCUUUAUUUUUUUGUAGAGAUGAGGUUUCGCUAUGUACCCUAGGCUGGUCUCAAAUUCCUGGGCUCAAGUGAUCCUCCUGCCUCAGCCUCCCAAAGUGCUGGGAUUACAGGUGUGAGCCACCGCGCCUGGCCUCAUCUGAUCCUUUUAACAGCCCUAUGAGCAGAUGCAAUAAUGGUCACCUCCGUUCCAUAGAUGAAAUGGUUGGGGCUCGAGGCAGACCACGUGAUUAACAGAGGCUAGGUCUCUUUGGGGACCAAGUUUUCAAAUAAUAAAAAUAGUCAUACUGAAAGUAACACAAACCCACCUCACUUAUCCAGAUUCUGAAAUCCAAAAAGCUCUGAAUCCCAGAAUUUUCUCAUCACUUACUCGGCAUCAAAACCUGCCCUGGAAUUUUUGGCAGCAGAAAAAGUUUCUCUGGAACAAAUCUUCACUUGCGUUCCUUAGGGCGAGCAUCCGUCUGUGUCACGGGUUUGAAUACGCGGCACCAGCCCGGCUGCGCUGGGAGGGUUGCAAUCAUAGAUGAUAUUCUAUAUUCUCACCCAACUGCCUUUCUAAAAUCCACAGAGGGGCCUAGUCUUUUAGCAGAAGGGUGGUCAUCGGCCCUUCCGGGAAGAGCCUGCUGUCGGCUGGGGGGAAGUCAGGAGCCCCAUUUCCAGUUCCCGUCCUGCCACUCCUCCCGGUUUCUCUCUGUGGCAGAAUGGGAGCGGCUCCCAGAGGGAAGAAAGAGGGCACUAAAUCUCCUCUCAUCAUCGUAAUGAUGAAGCCCGC